GCUUGUUGGUGGGGUAAUGGCCUACCAAGGCGACGAUGGGUAGCCGGCCUGAGAGGGUGUACGGCCACAUUGGGACUGAGAUACGGCCCAGACUCCUACGGGAGGCAGCAGUUAAGAAUCUUGCGCAAUGGGCGAAAGCCUGACGCAGCGACGCCGCGUGGACGAUGAAGGCCUUCGGGUUGUAAAGUCCGGUAAGCAGGGAAGAAUAAGUGUAAAGUAAUAUCUUGCACGAUGACGGUACCUGCCUAAAGCCCCGGCUAACUACGUGCCAGCAGCCGCGGUAAUACGUAUGGGGCAAGCGUUGUUCGGAAUUAUUGGGCAUAAAGGGCGUCUAGGCGGGGGACUAAGUUAGGUGUGAAAGCCAUGGGCUCAACCCAUGAAUUGCACCUAAAACUGGUUUUCUUGAGUUCGGGAGAGGAGAGCGGAAUUCCCGGUGUAGCGGUGAAAUGCGUAGAUAUCGGGAAGAACACCAGUGGCGAAGGCGGCUCUCUGGCCUAGAACUGACGCUGAAGCGCGAAAGCGUGGGGAGCGAACGGGAUUAGAUACCCCGGUAGUCCACGCCGUAAACGUUGUGUACUAGGUGUUAGUGGCUUGACCACUAGUGCCGUCGCAAACGCAUUAAGUACACCGCCUGGGGAGUACGUCCGCAAGGAUGAAACUCAAAGAAAUUGACGGGGGCCCGCACAAGCGGUGGAGCAUGUGGUUUAAUUCGAUGAUACGCGAAGAACCUUACCUGGGCUUGAACUGUACUUGAUCGGUGUAGAGAUACACCCUCCUUCGGGCAGGUGCAGAGGUGCUGCAUGGUUGUCGUCAGCUCGUGUCGUGAGAUGUUGGGUUAAGUCCCGCAACGAGCGCAACCCUUACCCCUUGUUGCCAUCAGGUAAUGCUGAGCACUCUAGGGGAACUGUCGGUGAUAAACCGGAGGAAGGUGGGGAUGACGUCAAAUCAUCACGGCCCUUAUGUCCAGGGCUACACACGUGCUACAAUGGCCGGUACAAUGAGUUGCGAGACCGCGAGGUGGAGCUAAUCUCAAAAAACCGGUCUCAGUUCGGAUUGCAGUCUGCAACUCGACUGCAUGAAGCUGGAAUCGCUAGUAAUCGCGGAUCAGCACGCCGCGGUGAUACGUUCCCGGGCCUUGUACACACCGCCCGUCACACCACCCGAGUUGGCAGCACCCGAAGUGGCUGAUCUAACUUCGUGAGGA
rnacentral:rRNA from 1 species